CAAAAAGCCCCCAAAUGGCCCCAAAUUCCCCCCCCCCGACCCCCCAAAUUGCCCCAAAUCGGCCCCAAAUCGACCCCAAAUUUGGCCCCCACCGUCCGACGGCGGCGCCUCCUUCAGGUGGGGGUCGGCAGUGCUGUCCUUCCUGCGGAGAAACCCCAUAGAGACCCCAUAGAGACCCCAUAGGGACCCCAUAGGGACCCCAUAGGGACCCAUAGAGACCCAUAGAGACCCCAUAGAUAACCAUAGAGACACCAUAGGGAUCCAUAGAGACCCAUAGAGACCCCAUAGAUAACCAUAGAGACACCAUAGGGAUCCAUAGAGACCCAUAGAGACCCCAUAGAUAACCAUAGAGACCCAUAGAGACCCCAUAGAUAACCAUAGAGACCCAUAGGGAUCCAUAGGGACCCCAUAGAGAGCCCAUAGAGACCCAUAGAGACCCAUAGAGACCCAUAGAGACCCCACAGGGAUCCAUAGAGACCCCAUAGAGACCCAUAGGGAUCCAUAGAGACCCAUAGAGACCCCAUAGAGACCCAUAGGGAUCCAUAGAGACCCAUAGAGACCCAUAGGGAUCCAUAGAGACCCAUAGAGAUCCCAUAGAGACUCAUAGGGACCCCAUAGAAACCCAUAGAGACCCAUAGGGACACCAUAGAAACCCAUAGAGACCCAUAGGGAUCCAUAGAGACCCCACAGAGACUCAUAGAGACCCCAUAGAAACCCAUAGAGACAUAGGGACCCAUAGAGACACAUAGAGACACAUAGGGACCCAUAGAGACCCAUAGAGACUCCACAGAGACACAUAGAGACCCAUAGAAACCCAUAGAGACCCAUAGAGACCCAUAGAGAACCCAUAGAGACCCCAUAGAGACCCAUAGAGACCCAUAGAGACCCCAUAGGGACCCAUAGAGACCCAUAGAGAUCCAUAUGGACCCAUAGAGACCUCAUAGAGACCCAUAGGGACCCAUAAGGACACAUAGAGACCCCAUAGACACCAAUAGAGACCCCAUAGGGAUCCACAGAGACCCAUAGGAACCCCAUAGAGACCCAUAGGGACCCAUAGAGGCCCCAUAGAGACCCAUAGAGACCCAUAGGGACCCAUAGAUACCCAUAGAGACCCAUAGAGACCCCAUAGAGCCCCAUAGGGACCCAUAGAGACCCCAUAGAAACCCAUAGAGACCCCAUAGAGACCCAUAGAGACCCCAUAGGGAUCCACAGAGACCCCAUAGAAAUCUAUAUGGACGCAUAGAGACCCCAUAGAGACCCAUGGAGACACAUAGAGAUCCAUAGGGACCUCAUAGAGACCCCAUAGAGAUCCAUAGGGACCCAUAGAGACCCAUAGAGACCCAUAGAGACCCCAUAGAGACUCAUAGGGACCCAUAGAGACCCCAUAGAGACCCCAUAGAGCCCCAUAGGGACCCAUAGAGACCCAUAGAGACCCAUAGAGACCCCAUAGAGACUCAUAGGGACCCAUAGAGACCCCACAGAGACUCAUAGAGACCCCAUAGAAACAUCAUAGAAACCCAUAGAGACCCAUAGGGACCCAUAGAGACCCAUAGAGACCCAUAGGGACCCAUAGAGACCCAUAGAGACCCAUAAAGACACAUAGAGUCCUCAUAGAGACCCAUAGGGACCCAUAGGGACCCAUAGAGACCCCACAGAGACCCAUAGAGACCCCAUAGAGAUCCAUAGAGACCCCAUAGAGACCCCAUAGGGACCCCAUAGAGACCCACAGGGACCCAUAGAGACCCAAAGGGAGCCAUAGAGACCCCAUAGAGACCCCAUAUGGACCCAUAGAAACAUCAUAGAAACCCAUAGAGACCCCAUAGAGCCCCAUAGGGACCCAUAGAGACCCAUAGAGACCCCAUAGAGACACAUAGGGACCCAUAGAGACCCAUAGAGACCCCACAGAAAUCCAUAGAGACCCCAUAGAGACACAUAGAGACACAUAGAAACCCAUAGGGACACAUAGAGACCCAUAGAGACCCAUAGAGACCCAUAGAGACCCCACAGAGACCCAUAGAGUCCCCAUAGAGAUCCAUAGAGACCCCAUAGAGACCCCAUAGGGACCCAUAGAGACCCAUAGAGACACAUAGAGACCCAUAGGGACCCAUAGGGACUCCAUAGGGACUCCAUAGGGACCCAUAGAGACCCAAAGGGACCCAUAGGGACUGAUAGGGACCCAUAGAGACCCAUAGAGGCCCCAUAGAGACCCUUUGGGGUCACAGCCGGGGAUCAUUCAUUGGGGUCCCUCAUUGGGGUCAUUCAUUGGGGUCAUUAACUGGGGUCAUUAAUUGGGGUGACUAAUUAGCAUGGCUAAUUGGGGUCACAUUGGGGUCCCUUUGGGGUCACAGAUGGGGAUCAUUCAUUGGGGUUCCUCAUUGAGGCCAUUCAUUGGGGUCAUUAAUUGGGGUCCCUAUUAAUUGGGGUCAUUAACUGGGGUCAUUAAUUGGGGUGACUAAUUAGCAUGGCUAAUUGGGGCCACCUUAUGAACACAGAUUGGGGGCCCUUUGGGGUCACAGAUGGGGAUCAUUCAUUGGGGUCCCUCAUUGAGGCCCUUAAUUGGGGUCAUUAAUUGGGGUCAUUAACUGGGGUCAUUAAUUGGGGUGACUAAUUAGCAUGGCUAAUUGGGGUCACAUUGGGGUCCCUUUGGGGUCACAGAUGGGGAUCAUUCAUUGGGGUCCCUCAUUGGGGUCAUUCAUUGGGGCCAUUCAUUGGGGCCAUUCAUUGGGCUCAUUAAUUGGGGUUCCCCGUUAAUUGGGGUUAAUUAAUAGUGCCGACUCACUCUCCGCCCCCCCCCCGCGGCUCUGGGGCGGCUCUGUGUGCCCAGGGGGGGUCGCAGCGCUCCCGCAGCGUGGCUCAGAGCAUGGCACCACCUGGGGGGGGACCCCAAAAAUGAGACCCCCCCCAAAUUGGGGACCCCACCCCCAAAAUGGGACACCCCCUCCACAAUGGACCCCCCCCCAAAUUGGGACCCCCC
rnacentral:lncRNA from 1 species